rfam:Schistosoma margrebowiei strain Zambia genome assembly, scaffold: SMRZ_scaffold0000784
AUCCAGUUGACGAGUCCCAAAUAGGAUGAAACACACAUCAAACUGGAU